UACGACAGGACUAGGCAGUGCUAUGGACACCCCAUUAUAUUUAUCAAACAAUAUACUGAAAGCAUAUCCAUUUGACAAGCCAGUACACACAAAUAUUUCCCUGUCUUGGUCACCAUGUGGAGUCAGUUUCAAAGACAGGAAUUAUGAAUGGCGUUGUAGAUGUUAAUACUUUGCAUCUACCACUUCACUGACCCUUUCUUGAUUCUCAAGAUUUUUGCCUAACAAUGUAACAUUAGUUCUCAGUGGGCUUAUCAUGUGAGUGAAACAGUCAUCACUACAAGUCAGGUUUUAUGCAUCUAUAAACUUUUCCCUUGAAGAUGCAGGUUGACUGGGUUUGAUUUAAUCAGAAAUAUAACAACUUGCCAUUUUGCAAGUGGGUGCAUGAAUUAAGCCUAGGAAACAUGCAAACAUGUCACCAGUGUUUGCAGUCCUCCAAGCUCCAGUGCAUCCUAAUAUUUUUUACUACCAACAGAGGGGGAGCUGAGGAACAUGGAAAGAAAGGGUCCUUGCACUUACUGAUGGCCAAAGGAACCAACAAUAGGAAAGCUAUUUUGCAUUUUCACAAAGGCCGGUUGGUGCUACAUUCAAUUCAUGCUACCACAGGCUACCAUAGGUUUCUGAUUUGCACUAGUAUUGGCCACUACAGGUGUAAAAUGUGCAAGUGUUGCCAUGGAUGAGAUUAUUGUGAUUAGCUUGUGGAAUACCUCCUUUCCUUUAAAUCAUGAUUGUUGUAUGGCAGCAAUGCCAAUAUGUUUGCCAAAUAUGACAUGAUAUGCAGCUGCAUAUUUCAAACAAGUCAGUAAUCUUAUGAAGGAUAUGACAUGAAUUUACUUUUCCCCAAUUUGGUGCUUGUACUGUUUGUGUGCUCUAAAAUAUCUAUCAAUCUAUGGUCCUCUGUCACUUUAUUCUGUUCUGGAGUGUCUUAUGUGCUGGCACAGAGGACCAGACCAGCAAUCUAUAGGAUACUUUUUGUGCUCUGCUAUACCAUUACAAAAUUACAAAACAUCAUUAAUGAGAAGUUGUAGGCAAAUAGUCUGGCUAAGGAAGUAAACAAAACAUGCCCACAUAUACAUGAUAAAAGACUGAAUAAGUGACAGCUGAAUCUUUAUAUUUUUAUUUAUUGCAUCAGGUUUUAUUGAGUGAAGGAAAAUCAUGGGGGGAAAUAUUUGGGGUGAGAAGCGCAGUCAAACAUCAGUGUGAACACUUUAGAUGUUCAUUUUGACAACAGCUUUCUUUAGACAGCAAGGAAUGUCUAUUUUAAUGCUUUUUUAAAAAAAGAAAAAACAAGCCUAACUUGAUCAGAGCGAACCUGCCAACCUGUGACAUAGUUUCUAGGUUGUUUGUUUGAAAAGUUUCAGCAGGGUCUUAUUUCACUGGGAGAUCAGUGUAAACACUCAGAUCUGAAGGUAUCAAACGUUUUGCAGAUAAAGACUGAAUCCUGAUAUAAGUUGUACUCAAAACAAGCUUGCUUUCCUUGAUCAGUGCUUGAAUUAUAGGGGGGCUAGAGGGGGCUGAAGUUUCUUAUUUAGUAUUAUUUUUGAACAUUUAUCUUUUCUAUCAUGAUAGCCAAGGGGACAAACACGUGGAGCCCAGGCAGUCACAUAUCUAUGCACUGACCAGACCUACUUAACUCCAGCAACAUGCUAACUUUGUGUGCCUUCAGACUGUAUCUUGGAAUUAUGUCCUUGUCUUUUGUGCUGCCCUGUAGUUACUAUUUUUAGAAAUCUGUAGGGUCUUUCAAAUUAAGUUGGGGGAGUUAAUGGGUGGGACCUUUAGGAUUUAAUUAAACCCCCUUACCUUUCCCUCAUAAUUCCCUGAUCGAAGAAGGUAUAAGCAAAUGAGCAGAAUAUCCUUUCUAAAGUUUUGGUCUGGUUAUGAUACCAAUAUCCCUGGAAUGUAGCUGCAGUCUACUCUGUUGGAAAGGGAUCCCUACAAAAACUGCUUUCCUAGCAGAUCUCUAGUUCAGGAUUCUAGCAUUUAAUGGCAUCAGAACAGUAAUAGCAGAAGAUUUUACUGUGAUUUAAAACAAACAUAGGAAAUAGGUGCCAACUCCCUGUGGCCCUGGGUGCCCAAGCACCCACAGAAUUCUGCAUGAAGAGGCCGUACACCCACAAAUUACGGGGUCAGGGCCAUGCAAGCUACAUGGCACCCAUUGUUGUGGGGCCAAGCUGGCACCCUUACCAAUGGACUGUGUCUACAGUCGAGGAAAACUUGAAUGUAUUUGUUAUAAACCAUGAAACAAAAGCUGCUUAAGUGCUAAAUGUUGUUUACUCUGCAACAUUAUAGUUGUUUAGGUAAGAAUAAAGUGGUCACUUUUUUGCUGUGCACAAAAGCUAUGGGUUGACAGAAUGAAAAUCAACCUGGCAAAUGAAUGGUUUGAGUUGAAGCAGAACAUGCAAGAAAAGAGGAGAAUGAAUAACCAUGAAAUGUCAAAUGGGAAUUUCUUAAUUGGGUGUUUGAUUUCUUAUCUGUACUGGAAGUCAAGGUGGGUGGCUUCCUUUGUGCUGUAUUGUGCACCUCUGACUGGAGGAGCAGACCAGCAACCCUCAUUGCACAACUGGAAGCAACUUCAAAUCCAAGCCUAUGUCCUAGUUCAUUCCCCCCUUUAAAAACAACAAGAGGCUACUCCUCCUCUUUGCAUUCCUUGCCAGUCUGCCUACCCCCAAUCCCACCCCAUUGCUACUCACCUCCCUUUAGAUCUCACCCAACAUCCUUCCCCUAUGCACAGUCGCCCAGACCCUCGCAGCUCCCCCACAACCUCCCUUCUAUUGCUGUGUUCCUCCAGAUGCUUCCUGUAUCAUUACACCUGCCACACCACCACCAGGAAGAAGUCUGCAUCUGCAGGCUUCCUUUUGGUGGUGGUAGUUUGGUGGCAGUGACAGGGGGAGAGAAGGAAGGCCUGCUUGGGCCACCUGUCUGCCUGCUCACUUGCUCCUACCACACAUGCAUUUGUCAGCAUGAUGACAAACAAGUGCAAAUACAGUAUAUAGAGGAAAAAAGCCCAACAUUUUCUUCUUGCCUUAUCAUUUAUAAUGCAAACACAUAAUUAUGUAAUCUUCUUGGAGACACGUUAUUAAGCAGACAUUUGUUUUCUAAGACAACCUUGGCAAUAAGUGCAGAGCCAUUUGCAUUUUAUAAUUGCUUCUGUUAGCAAACAACUCGUUCCUUGGUUGUAACAUUAUGUUGGCACUUAGAGGCCAUUGACUAAGCAAUUUGAGAAACCAAACCCACGUUAAACAAUUUCCAAUCUGUUUAUUGUUAAUAUAACUGAUUUGAUGUGGUGUGGAUUAACGCCUACAUAGCGCACAUACAACUGCAUGACAAAGAAGUGGAUGCCAUACUUUUAACACAGCGAGCCAGUGUGGUGCUGUGUGUUUGACAAGGAGAGCGGUGCUCAAAUUUCUACACAGCCAUGAAAUGAAAGGGUUACCUUGGGUUAAAGGUAAAGGGACCCCUGACUGUUAAGUCCAGUCGUGGCCGACUCUGGAGUUGCAAUGCUCAUCUCACUUUAUUGGCCGAGGGAGCCGGUGUACAGCUUCCAGGUCAUGUGGCCAGCAUGACUAAGCCGCUUCUCGCGAACCAGAGCAGCGCACAGAAACACCGUUUACCUUCUCGCCGGAGCAGUACCUAUUUAUCUAUUUGCACUUUGACGUGCUUUCAACUGCUAGGUUGGCAGGAACAGGGACCGAACAACGGGAGGUCAGCCUGUCGCGGGGAUUCGAACCGCCAACCUUCUGAUCGGCAAGUCUUAGGCUCUGUGGUUUAGACCACAGCACCACCCACAUCCCUUACCUUGGGUUAGACAUCCUCUAAUAGUCAAGGCUACUUUGCAAGGGAAACAUGCCCAAUGCUUUGAGCUCCUUGAAGGAGGACACAAUAAAAGCAUAAUAAUAGGUAAGAUAUCAGGCUUAAUAUCAGCAGUGGUUUGGUUUGUCAGGUGCUAGCAUCCAGUCAGGUGGAUCACUGUUGCUUACCAGGAAUGAGAGGAGGAGGAGCAAAGCAACAGGGAGGAGCUCAGCACCCGUGGAGCCAAUCCAGCAUUCCUAUCAGUGUAUUUGCACUGCCCUGAUCUCCCUGUUAUCCUCUUCCUCCCAGUAAGCAGUAGCAGCCUAGUUUCCUAACUAGUGUAGCAGUUCAACCCCACCCUGCAAUCUGCUUUUCAAAUAUUGAAAUCAUGCUUUCUCAGCCUUAAAAAAGACCACAAAACCUACUAACCCACAGAUUUAUUUUUUUUAUUAUCUAGCCUGCUAAGUCACAUAUAAGGAUAGACAGGUAUGUCAGUUCUGGUUUUUCUCAGCUUCUUAUUUUACCAACAAAAAUUAAACAGCAUUUCAGUACCUAUUUCUCAGAAUAUACAUAUAUUUGUAUGCAGUUUUGGCUAAAACACACAUUUGGGCAAGCCAUAUCCCCUAGUAAAUGUUGGAAAAACACAUAGAAUGCAUUUUUGCAACUUGUUUUCAAUAAUAUAUGCAUUUUUACACACACUUUCCCCUAAAAUACACAUUUACUUUUUGGUUGAUGAACUGCAUCAAAAAAUUUGAAGAAGCGCAAAUUUCAAAGGAUAGGUGAGUCUCUGUUUGCAUACUUUUGGGGGAAUUGCAAAUUAAGAAUACACUAAAAUGCAAACUGAACUGAAUUUCCCCCCUCAUUCCUGUUUGUUGCCAUAUCUAUGUUAGACAGUGGCACACUGGGCAGCCUAAAGGAGAUUUUAAAAAUUCUCAUUCCCAAUUACAAAUGCUUCUCAGCUUGGUUGCCUCAGAGUAAUUCUUUCUUGCUACGUGUGGGCAAGUGAGGGUUAGUACGAGACUAGGCUAUAAUACCCUUUUAUUCAUGUAAUAUAGAUUUACCCAGGCAGAAGUUCACAUUUGGACACCUAGCUUUAACUGUCCUGGGGAAAGAAGAGAUGACCUGCUUUCUGUGCCCAUUGAGUAGCAUGUUAAUAACAUACAGCAAAAUAUAGAGAACAGAUCCCAAGGCCCAAAUUAACUUACACAGGAAGGGGGGGUCUGGGAAGCUGAGCAAACAGACGGUACUAAAGGCAAAGUUCUAGGCCUUGCUGACAAAUUAAAACUUCAGAAAUCACCAAGUCCAAGUUGGUAUCCACCUGAGAGCACUUUAAGAACUCAAAUGGUAAAUUGCCUUGAGUCCCUGUCAGACAAAAGGGUGAUGCAGUAUGUUAAUGCUAC